AGCCGAAACACGGAGAAAUCCGUGUCGAGCUGGGAUUGUUCCCGGCUCCUGACGAUGGCAGCUACCC
rnacentral:hammerhead_ribozyme from 1 species